ACGAACGCUGGCGGCAUGCCUAACACAUGCAAGUCGAACGAGACCUUCGGGUCUAGUGGCGCACGGGUGCGUAACGCGUGGGAACCUGCCUUUAGGUUCGGAAUAACUCAGAGAAAUUUGAGCUAAUACCGGAUGAUGUCUUCGGACCAAAGAUUUAUCGCCUUUAGAUGGGCCCGCGUUGGAUUAGCUAGUUGGUGGGGUAAAGGCCUACCAAGGCGACGAUCCAUAGCUGGUCUGAGAGGAUGAUCAGCCACACUGGGACUGAGACACGGCCCAAACUCCUACGGGAGGCAGCAGUGGGGAAUCUUGCGCAAUGGGCGAAAGCCUGACGCAGCCAUGCCGCGUGUAUGAUGAAGGUCUUAGGAUUGUAAAAUACUUUCACCGGUGAAGAUAAUGACUGUAGCCGGAGAAGAAGCCCCGGCUAACUUCGUG
rnacentral:rRNA from 1 species